AACGAACGCUGGCGGCAGGCCUAACACAUGCAAGUCGAGCGCCCCGCAAGGGGAGCGGCGGACGGGUGAGUAACACGUGGGAAUUUUCCUCAAGGUACGGAACAACUCAGGGAAACUUGGGCUAAUACCGUAUGAUGCAGAGAUGCCAAAGAUUUAUCGCCUUGGGAUAAGCCCGCGUCAGAUUAGGUAGUUGGUGGGGUAAUGGCCUACCAAGCCUGUGAUCUGUAGCUGGUCUGAGAGGACGAUCAGCCACAUUGGGACUGAGACACGGCCCAAACUCCUACGGGAGGCAGCAGUGGGGAAUCUUGCGCAAUGGACGAAAGUCUGACGCAGCCAUGCCGCAUGAAUGAUGAAGGUCUUAGGAUUGUAAAGUUCUUUAGCCUGUGACGAUGAUGACGGUAACAGGAGAAUAAGCCCCGGCUAACUUCGUGCCAGCAGCCGCCGUAA
rnacentral:rRNA from 1 species